AACGCUAGCUACAGGCUUAACACAUGCAAGUCGAGGGGAAACGAUAUUGGAAGCUUGCUUCCGAUAGGCGUCGACCGGCGCACGGGUGAGUAACGCGUAUCCAACCUGCCCAUCACUUGGGGAUAACCUUGCGAAAGUAAGACUAAUACCCAAUGACGUCUCUAGAAGACAUCUGAAAGAGAUUAAAGAUUUAUCGGUGAUGGAUGGGGAUGCGUCUGAUUAGCUUGUUGGCGGGGUAACGGCCCACCAAGGCGACGAUCAGUAGGGGUUCUGAGAGGAAGGUCCCCCACAUUGGAACUGAGACACGGUCCAAACUCCUACGGGAGGCAGCAGUGAGGAAUAUUGGUCAAUGGGCGCGAGCCUGAACCAGCCAAGUAGCGUGCAGGACGACGGCCCUACGGGUUGUAAACUGCUUUUAUAAGGGAAUAAAGUGAGCCUCGUGAGGCUUUUUGCAUGUACCUUAUGAAUAAGGACCGGCUAAUUCCGUGCCAGCAGCCGCGGUAAUACGGAAGGUCCGGGCGUUAUCCGGAUUUAUUGGGUUUAAAGGGAGCGCAGGCCGUGGGUUAAGCGUGUCGUGAAAUUCCGUCGCUCAACGGCGGACGUGCGGCGCGAACUGGUCCACUUGAGUACGCGGGACGUUGGCGGAAUUCGUGGUGUAGCGGUGAAAUGCUUAGAUAUCACGAAGAACUCCGAUUG
rnacentral:rRNA from 1 species